rnacentral:rRNA from 1 species
AGGAAGCACACUUAGGUCAUAGAUUAAGCCAUGCAAGUGUUAGUUCAGGCAACGAAACUGCGAACAGCUCAUUAAUACGCUCAGAAUCUAAUUGGCAGCGACCCAGAUGAGCGAGGGGUCUUAGAUUAGGCUAGCAGCAGUAAUUCUGGUGCUAAUACAUGCGAUUGUUUCAUCGGAAGUGAAUUACGGUGGAAAAGUUGACCGAAAGGCAUGCCAUUCGAUUGAGCGACCUAUCAGCUUGUACUUAGGGUCUUGGCCUAGGUAGGCUAUCACGGGUAACGGGCGGUUACCGUCGGACUGCCGGAGAAGGCGCCUGAGAGAUAGCGACUAUAUCUACGGAUAGCAGCAGGCGCGAAACUUACCCACUCGAGACAUUCGGAGGUGGUAAUGACCAGUUUCAAGACAGCUCCAUACGGGGUUGCUUGAAUAGGACCACAUUUUUCCAGUGUGGUGAAACCUAGCAGAGGGCCAGUCUGGUGCCAGCAGCUGCGGUAAUUCCAGCUCUGCGAGUUUGCUCCCAUAAUGUUGCAGUUAAAACGCCCGUAGUCUGAAAUUUGAAAAUAAGCGGUCACAAACCGCGUUCACUGCGAACAAAUCAGGACGCUUAGUGUAAGGCCUGCUUGUAUGACUGAGCGCAGUAUGAUAAUUUUACCUAAGGGUAAGAUCAAAGAGAGCCACUGGGGGUAGAUCUAUUUCAUGGCGAGCGGUGGAAUGUUAUGACCCAUGAGAGAGGAACUAAGGCGAAAGCAUCUACCUAGGGGGUUUCUGUCGAUCAAGGGCGAGAGUAGGAGUAUCCAACCGGAUUAGAGACCCGGGUAGUUCCUACUGUAAACGAUGCCGACUGGGGCUUAUCCAUUUGUAUGGGUAGGAUCCGACGAGAAAUCAUAGUUUUUGGGCUCUGGGGGAACUACGACCGCAAGGCUGAAACUUGAAGGAAUUGACGGAAGGGCACACCAGGGGUGGAGCUUGUGGCUUAAUUUGAAUCAACACGGGGAAACUUACUAGGGCCAGAUGUUUUAUAAGACUGACAGGCUACGGGUCUUUCAGGAUUUAACUAUUGGUGGUGCAUGGCCGUUGGUGGUGCGUGGGUUGACCUGUCUAGCGUUGAUUCAGAUAACGAGCGAGACUAUCACCAAUUAAUGUCGAUUGACUCGAAAGAGUGUAAUUGUUCUAAUUGGGACUCCUUGCGUCUAAGCAGGGGGAAGAGGGUAGCAAUAACAGGUCCGUGAUGUCCUUUAGAUGCCCUGGGCUGCACGCGCGCUACAAUGUGAGGGUCAAAGAGUUACGAUCCUCGAUAGGGUGAGAUAAUCUCAUAAUACCUCACGUACCUGGGAUUGACGGUUGUAAUGACUGUCAUGAACUAGGAAUCCCUUGUAAGCGUGUGUCAACAACGCACGCUGAAUACGUCCCUGCCCUUUGUACACACCGCCCGUCGCUCCUACUGAUGGAUGAUUCGGCAAAAUCACUGGAGAAUCCCAGUCAAAGGUGAUUGAACCAUACUAUCUAGAGGAAGGAGAAGUCGUAACAAGGUAACG